ACGUAAUUAGCCGUCGCUUAUUCCUGGGGUACCGUCAGAACUUCUUCCCCCAGAAAAGGUGUUUACGACCCGAAAGCCUUCAUCCACCACGCAGUGUUGCUCCGUCAGACUUUCGUCCAUUGCGGAAGAUUCU
rnacentral:rRNA from 1 species